rnacentral:rRNA from 1 species
CCUACGGGUGGCAGCAGUGAGGAAUAUUGGUCAAUGGGCGCGAGCCUGAACCAGCCAAGUAGCGUGAAGGAUGACUGCCCUACGGGUUGUAAACUUCUUCUAUAAAGGAAUAAAGUGAGGCACGUGUGCCUUUUUGUAUGUACUUUACGAAUAAGGAUCGGCUAACUCAGUGCCAGCAGCCGCGGGAAUACGGAGGGUCCGAGCGUUACUCGGAUUUAUUGGGUUUAAAGGGAGCGUAGAUGGGUUGUUAAGUCAGUUGUGAAAGUUUGGGGCUCAACCGUAAAAUUGCAAUUGAUACUGGCAGUCUUGAGUACGGUUGAGGUAGGCGGAAUUCGUGGUGUAGCGGUGAAAUGCGUAGAUAUCACGAAGAACUCCGAUGGCGAAGGCAGCUUACUAAACUGCCACUGACGUUGAUGCUCGAAAGUGUGGGUAUCAAACAGGAUUAGAUACCCUUGUAGUC